rnacentral:rRNA from 1 species
CAUGUGGUUUAAUUCGAUGCAACGCGAAGAACCUUACCUGGUCUUGACAUCCACGGAAGUUUUCAGAGAUGAGAAUGUGCCUUCGGGAACCGUGAGACAGGUGCUGCAUGGCUGUCGUCAGCUCGUGUUGUGAAAUGUUGGGUUAAGUCCCGCAACGAGCGCAACCCUUAUCCUUUGUUGCCAGCGGUCCGGCCGGGAACUCAAAGGAGACUGCCAGUGAUAAACUGGAGGAAGGUGGGGAUGACGUCAAGUCAUCAUGGCCCUUACGACCAGGGCUACACACGUGCUACAAUGGCGCAUACAAAGAGAAGCGACCUCGCGAGAGCAAGCGGACCUCAUAAAGUGCGUCGUAGUCCGGAUUGGAGUCUGCAACUCGACUCCAUGAAGUCGGAAUCGCUAGUAAUCGUGGAUCAGAAUGCCACGGUGAAUACGUUCCCGGGCCUUGUACACACCGCCCGUCACACCAUGGGAGUGGGUUGCAAAAGAAGUAGGUAGCUUAACCUUCGGGAGGGCGCUUACCACUUUGUGAUUCAUGACUGGGGUGAAGUCGUAACAAGGUAACCGUAGGGGAACCUGCGGUUGGAUCACCUCCUU